UACGUAGGGUGCAAGCGUUGUCCGGAUUUAUUGGGCGUAAAGGGUGCGUAGGCGGCGUGGCAAGUCGGGUGUGAAAUCUUGGAGCUUAACUCCGAAACUGCAUUCGAUACUGCCGUGCUUGAGGACUGGAGAGGAGACUGGAAUUUACGGUGUAGCGGUGAAAUGCGUAGAUAUCGUAAGGAAGACCAGUGGCGAAGGCGGGUCUCUGGACAGUUCCUGACGCUGAGGCACGAAGGUCAGGGGAGCAAACGGG
rnacentral:rRNA from 1 species